GGUCUAUUGUCUCAUACCAUUUGGGUUUGUUUCUACUUCUAUUUCAAUACACUCGAUCCGUAAUUUGAAAAUAAUCUAUUACAUGUAUUUGUAAAUUAAGAUUAACCUUAUUUUCAAAAAGUUAAAAUUAAGAGAAUAUGAACCCACCAAAAAUUGUGUAUGAUCUCAAGUACUGUUUUUGUGGUUUAAUUUACUAAGGGUGUGAUAUUGACCCCCGCAAAUCCAUAUCAGCCCUGCAGGGUUGAUACGGCUAUUGUGACGUCAGCCAUAUCGCAUAUGCAAAAAACCUGUAUUUAUUACUAAGUGUGUAAUAAAUG